AUUAAAUCGCUGAGCAAGGGGAGUAGGCUUUUAUAUCCUUUUAUAGAGAGCCGGGGAUGGUGGGAACCGGUAAAGGGUGAAAAGUUGAAUGGGCUUGCGAGAGGUUUCCUGAAUUAGAGUAGGGAAACACGGGUUUCCGCCGUUAAAAGGAUAGGGUAUCGGAAAUUUCCUGUACCUGAAGGAGGGAAUCUGCAUUUGGAGAUUCCAAUUUGAGGUGGCACCGCGGUCAUAAUAUCGUCCUCUAU
rnacentral:ncRNA from 2 species